rnacentral:rRNA from 1 species
CCAGACUCCUACGGGAGGCAGCAGUGGGGACUUUUGGACAAUGGGCGCCCGCCUGAUCCCGCUCUUCCGCGUGUGGGCUGACGGCCCUCGGGUUGUAAACCCCUUUCGUAGAGACCGCCCCGGAGCUAUCGCCUCAAUAGCUCUGCUGACGGUACUCUCCGCCUAAGCACCGGCUCACUACGUGCCAGCGGCCGCGGUCCUCCGUAGGGUGCGCGCGUUAAUCGGAAUUACGGGGCGUAAAGGGUGGGCAGGCGGCUGAGGAAGACAGAUGUGAAAGCCCCGGGCUUAACCUGGGAACCGCAUAUGUGGCUGCUUGGCUAGAGGGCGGCAGAGGGAGGGGGAAUUCCACGGGGAGCAGUGAAAUGCGGAGAUAUGUGGAAGAACACCGAUGGAGAAGGCAGCCUCCUGGGACGCAACUGACGCUCAUACACGAAAGCGUGGGGGGCAAACAGGAGUAGAUACCCUCGUAU